CAGCCGUAAACGAUGCGCGUUAGGUGUAUCGACGACCACGAGUCGUCGAGGUGCCGAAGGGAAACCGUGAAACGUGCCGCCUGGGAAGUACGGUCGCAAGGCUGAAACUUAAAGGAAUUGGCGGGGGAGCACCACAACAGGUGGAGCCUGCGGUUUAAUUGGACUCAACGCCGGAAAUCUCACCGGAUAAGACAGCAGAAUGAUUGCCGGGCUGAAGGCUCUGCAUGACUAGCUGAGAGGAGGUGCAUGGCGUCAGUGACU
rnacentral:rRNA from 1 species